CCUACGGGGGGCUGCAGUGGGGAAUAUUGGACAAUGGGGGCAACCCUGAUCCAGCCAUGCCGCGUGUGUGAAGAAGGCCCUCGGGUUGUAAAGCACUUUCAGUGAGGAAGAACGCCUGGUGGUUAAUACCCAUCAGGAAAGACAUCACUCACAGAAGAAGCACCGGCUAACUCCGUGCCAGCAGCCGCGGUAAUACGGAGGGUGCGAGCGUUAAUCGGAAUUACUGGGCGUAAAGCGCGCGUAGGUGGCUUGAUAAGCCGGUUGUGAAAGCCCCGGGCUCAACCUGGGAACGGCAUCCGGAACUGUCAAGCUAGAGUGCAGGAGAGGAAGGUAGAAUUCCCGGUGUAGCGGUGAAAUGCGUAGAGAUCGGGAGGAAUACCAGUGGCGAAGGCGGCCUUCUGGACUGACACUGACACUGAGGUCCGAAAGCGUGGGUAGCAAACAGGAUUAGAUACCCCUGUAGUC
rnacentral:rRNA from 1 species